rnacentral:rRNA from 1 species
CGGACGGGUGAGUAACACGUGGAUAACCUACCUAUAAGACUGGGAUAACUUCGGGAAACCGGAGCUAAUACCGGAUAAUAUAUUGAACCGCAUGGUUCAAUAGUGAAAGACGGUUUUGCUGUCACUUAUAGAUGGAUCCGCGCCGCAUUAGCUAGUUGGUAAGGUAACGGCUUACCAAGGCAACGAUGCGUAGCCGACCUGAGAGGGUGAUCGGCCACACUGGAACUGAGACACGGUCCAGACUCCUACGGGAGGCAGCAG